rnacentral:rRNA from 1 species
CAGGGGAGAGUUUGAUCCUGGCUCAGAUUGAACGCUGGCGGCAGGCCUAACACAUGCAAGUCGAGCGGAUGAAGGGAGCUUGCUCCUGGAUUCAGCGGCGGACGGGUGAGUAAUGCCUAGGAAUCUGCCUGGUAGUGGGGGAUAACGUCCGGAAACGGGCGCUAAUACCGCAUACGUCCUGAGGGAGAAAGUGGGGGAUCUUCGGACCUCACGCUAUCAGAUGAGCCUAGGUCGGAUUAGCUAGUUGGUGGGGUAAAGGCCUACCAAGGCGACGAUCCGUAACUGGUCUGAGAGGAUGAUCAGUCACACUGGAACUGAGACACGGUCCAGACUCCUACGGGAGGCAGCAGUGGGGAAUAUUGGACAAUGGGCGAAAGCCUGAUCCAGCCAUGCCGCGUG